rnacentral:rRNA from 1 species
GACGAACGCUGGCGGCGUGCCUAAUACAUGCAAGUCGGACGCAGUUGCGAACGGGUGAGUAACGCGUAUGUCACUGCCUAUUAGAGGGGGCUAACUAUUGGAAACGAUAGCUCAUACCGCCUACUAGUAGAUUUACCUGCGUUGUGUUAGCUAGUCGGUAGGGGAAUGGCCUACCUAGGCAACGAUACAUAGCCGCGCCUGGGGGGGGAUCGGCCACACUGGGAACGGGAAAAGGGCCAGGAUCCUACGGGAAGCAGCAGGAGGGGAACUUCGGAAAUGGGGGGAAGCCUGGACAAGCAAAGGCGGGUGAGUGAAGAAGGGUUUCGGAGCGGAAAGCUAUGUUGUGAAGGAAGCGGUACUUAAACAGAAAGGGACGGCUAACUACGUGCCAGCAGCCGCGGUAAUAC